GACAGAGGGUGCAAACGUUGUCCGGAAUUAUUGGGCGUAAAGCGCGUGUAGGCGGCUCGGUAAGUCUGCUGUGAAAGUCCAAGGCUCAACCUUGGAAAGCCGGUGGAUACUGUCGAGCUCGAGUCCGGAAGAGGCGAGUGGAAUUCCUGGUGUAGCGGUGAAAUGCGCAGAUAUCAGGAGGAACACCAAUGGCGAAGGCAGCUCGCUGGGACGGUACUGACGCUGAGACGCGAAAGCGUGGGGAGCAAACAGG
rnacentral:rRNA from 1 species